rnacentral:rRNA from 1 species
UACGUAGGGGGCUAGCGUUGCCCGGAAUCAUUGGGCGUAAAGCGCGCGUAGGCGGUCAGGAAAGUCCGGUGUGAAAGUCAUAGGCUCAACCUAUGGAUGCCGCUGGAAACUGCCUGACUUGAGUCCGGAAGGGGCGAGUGGAAUUCCUGGUGUAGCGGUGAAAUGCGCAGAUAUCGGGAGGAAUACCAGUGGCGCAAGCGGCGCCCUGGCCGUGACCUGACACUGAGCCACGACGGCGUGGGGAGCAAACGGG